rnacentral:rRNA from 1 species
AGGGGCCCGCGCCUGAUUAGCUAGUUGGUGGGGUAACGGCUCACCAAGGCGACGAUCAGUAUCCGGCCUGAGAGGGCGGACGGACACACUGGGACUGAGACACGGCCCAGACUCCUACGGGAGGCAGCAGUGGGGAAUUGUUCGCAAUGGGCGCAAGCCUGACGACGCAACGCCGCGUGGAGGAUGAAGAUCUUCGGGUCGUAAACUCCUGUCGAGCGGGACGAAUGCCUUAGGAGUGAAUAUCUCCCGGGGGUGACGGUACCGCUAAAGGAAGCCCCGGCUAACUCCGUGCCAACAGCCGCGGUAAUAC